UACGUAGGGUGCAAGCGUUGUCCGGAAUUAUUGGGCGUAAAGAGCUCGUAGGCGGUCUGUUACGUCGGCUGUGAAAACCUGGGGCUCAACCCCGGGCCUGCAGCCGAUACGGGCAGACUAGAGUGCGGUAGGGGAGACUGGAAUUCCUGGUGUAGCGGUGAAAUGCGCAGAUAUCAGGAGGAACACCGGUGGCGAAGGCGGGUCUCUGGGCCGUAACUGACGCUGAGGAGCGAAAGCGUGGGGGAGCGAACAGG
rnacentral:rRNA from 1 species